UGGGUUCCAACCCGGUUCCUCGCCCUGGAGUGCAACUGAGAAAAAAAGCCCCAUCGAGGGGUCGAGCUGACCAACCCAUUCCCGAUCCCGAUCCCUCCACCGCCGCCGGCCGCCCUCCACCGUUGCUGUUGCCCUUCACCACCGGCCUACGCCCUCUCCCCCUCCCCCUCCCCUCCCCUCACAGAUCAGUGCCCUAGUCCUCCUCCUUCUCGCCUUCUUUGCCCCCUCCUCGACGUCCUCGUCGGCGGCGCCGGGCAUCAUCUGGCUGCCGCGCACCGGGUUCUGCGCCGCGCCAGCUUCCAUGCGUCAAGUUCGUCGAGUUUGGCGGCACCCGCACCAUCCCACUCAUCUACAAGACUACAAUGAGCCCGCGAGCGCCUCCUCGAGUGCGCUCUGAAAUUUGAGGCAUGUCUACCUCAGAGGUUUCCGAGAGUGCCGAUUACAUGGAUGAGGAUAUGAGUCAAGUACCACGUGUUAGAAGGUCCAAGGUGUGGGAGCAUUAUGAACAAGAUCUGGUUCGCAUACAUGGUGAUCUCAAGGCUGUGUGCAAAUAUUGUGGGACACAACUUCACACCAAGUUUGGGACUACGAGUUUGAGAACCCAUAUUGCAGAGUCUUGCAAAUCAAUUGAGGAUGGUUGCAGGAAGAAUUUUCUUUUGACUAUGAAAAAAACAAAUUCCGAAGGCCCGUUUGUGUUUGAUCAAAAAGUUUGUCGUGAUCUCAUGGUCAAGUUUUGCAUCCAUGCUGAGAUCCCCUUUCUUAAGUUUGAAGAUCCAUACCUUCACCCAUGGAUUGACUCAAUGCAGCCAGCAUUUCAAGUCAUGGGUCGUCACACAAUUCGUGAUGAUGCAAUGAAGAUGUACAAGGGAAUGAAGAAAGACAUCGAAGUUGAGUUACAAAAUUUGGAUUCUCGCAUUUGCUUAACAUCUGAUAUGUGGACUUCAUCACAGAGCUUGGGCUACAUGUCCAUCACCGCCCACUAUAUCAAUGCAGAAUUCAUCUACAAGAAGAAGAUCAUAAGUUUCGCAGAGGUGAAGUAUCCUCACACGGGCUAUGCGAUAGAAGAGGAACUUGUUGGUUGCCUAACAGAAUGGGGCAUAAGGGGCAAGCUGUUCACUUUGACACUAGAUAAUGCCAGCAAUAAUACUAAUGCAUGUGAUGAGUUAAUAAAAUAUCACAAACAUGAGCUGCUCCUUGAAGGUCAACAUUUGCAUGUGAGGUGAUGUGCACACAUUCUCAAUAUCUUGGUUCAGGAUGGAAUGAAGAUAAUCCAUGAAGCUAUUGACAUGAUACAAGAGUUGCUGAAGUUUAUUGACUCUUCUCCUUCAAGACUUCAGGAUUUCAAUACAAUUGUAAGUGGGAUGGGUCUGCCUUCAAAGAAAGGUAUCUCUGUUGAUACACCAACCAGAUGGAACUCAACAUGGAAAAUGCUUGUAGAAGCAUUGAUAUACAAAUCUGUCCUCACUAGUUAUGCAACUCGAAAGAUGAUAGAAUCUCCAAGUGAGCAAGAAUGGGAAAGGGCAGCAGCUAUUUGUGAGUUUCUAAAAGCUUUUGAAGAGCUUACCUUAAUUGUUUCAGCUCAUAGGAAGCGAACUACACAUAAGUUUCUGCCGGUUGUGCUUUGUAUUCGCCAUGCAUUAAAAGAUCUAGGUUGUUAAACCUCUGAUGUGUUGAAGGAAUUGGCGGCAGCGAUGCAAACAAAGCUUGAUAAAUAUUGGGAUCCCGAGGAGAAGGAGAAUGUAGAUCCUAACCAUCAUAGAAAAAGCAAGGGCAUUGAGUUUAACCACUCACUUGUCAUUGCUACAUUCCUGGAUCCAAGGAGGAAAGAAGAUUAUUUGGAUUUCUUCUAUUGCAAGUUGUCUAUCAACGAGGAGCAGGUUUCAAAACAAGUGGAGAUUGCUUUAGAAUGGGUGAGAAAGUAUGUCAAGGAAUAUGAGCUACUUGCAGCGACAAGCACUGCACACUCGACACCUUCUAGUCAAGGCAAUACCACUAUUGGAUCACCUAUUGCAGGGAAAAGAAAGCUGGAAGAAGAGUUUGCCUAGCACAAGUCUCGUCGGGGGUCACGUGUACACAAAUCAGAACUUGACACAUACUUGGAAGAAGCAAGGGAGCAGGAUUGUGAUGACUUUGAUGUCUUGGGUUGGUGGAAGAGGCAUGCUGAAAAGUUUCCUAUAUUGGCUUCGAUGGCCCAUGACUUUCUCGCAAUUCCUUUGAGAACAGUGGCAUCCGAAUCAGCCUUCAGUUGUGGUAAGAGGAUACUUGGCAACACGAGAAGUUCUUUGACCCCUGAUAUGCUCGAAGCGCUUGUUUUUGCUAAAGAUUGGUUGUUCAAACCAAAGGAGGGAGAUGGAUAGUAAGGAUGCAGCUAAAAAUUUGGAACCAAUAAAAGACAUUUGCUCCUCCAGCAUCAGACUAUUCUGGUUCUUCUCUUGCCUAGAAAUCCUGCUUUCAACAAGUUCAGAAUCACCCGGCAUGACAUUUUUGGUUAAUCUGAAGAACAAUUGCUCCAAGUUGAAACAUGCAGCCUUCAGCACUGAAGUCGUAGUCUAGUCUAUAUCAUGGUCGCCAUGAGCCCAUGACAUGCAGAAGUUACUAUUAUCCUCUGUAAUCAAGUUCUGAACCUUUGAAGAAAAUGUUAUUCUUGUAAUGAUGGACGUGAAAUCCAAGCACCUGAUCUCAACCUGACUCAAAUUUUAACUAUCAAGUGCAUUCUUGUUCUGAUUGUACAUAUACUGAUACUUUACAUGUAUGGGUGGGGAACUGAUCUAGAACCAUAGGCUACAACCAUAGUUUCUAGAAUGGGUUAGUUUGGUUUUGGUGAAUCUGUCAUUGUAUAGUUUGGGCUGGGUGCCAAUGCCAAUUAUGUGGGUUCAGUUUGGUUUGGU